rnacentral:rRNA from 1 species
GAUGAACGCUGGCGGCGUGCCUAAUACAUGCAAGUCGAGCGAACGGACGAGAAGCUUGCUUCUCUGAUGUUAGCGGCGGACGGGUGAGUAACACGUGGAUAACCUACCUAUAAGACUGGGAUAACUUCGGGAAACCGUAGCUAAUACCGGAUAAUAUUUUGAACCGCAUGGUUCAAAAGUGAAAGACGGUCUUUCUGUCACUUAUAGAUGGAUCUGCGCUGCAUUAGCUAGUUGGGAAGGUAACGGCUUACCACGGCAACUAUGCAUAGCCGACCUGAGAGGGUGGUCGGCCACACUGGAACUGAGACACGGUCCAUACGCCUACGGGAGGCAGCAGUAGGCAAUCUUCCGCAAUGGGCGAAAGCCUGACGGAGCAACGCCGCGUGAGUGAUGAAGGUCUUCGGAUCGUAAAACUCUGUUAUUAGGGAAGAACAUAUGUGUAAGUAACUGUGCACAUCUUGACGGUACCUAAUCAGAAAGCCACGGCUAACUACGUG